UUUAGUUAAUUGGUUAAUAUUCAAUUGUUGACAGUCAUAUAUGUGUGUGUGUGUGUGUGUGUGUGUGUAUAAAUGUAUUCAGGGCAUAUUCUCUUGUCAUAGAUCAGGUAUGCUAUUGUAGAGAAAGGUUUUUUAGGCGCCCUUGAAAAUACUUAUCUUUGGAUAUUUCUUCUCUCUCUCAGUUUCCAAAAUUUGUGGUUUGGACUGGGGCUAAAAUAGGACUGGGAGGUGUUUGGUACUGUGAAUCAUCAUCUCUCUUAAACGAAAAAAAAAGAACUAGAGUGAUGGAGAUUCUGAAAAAUUUUCAGAUGAUUUUUCACAAAACGACAAAUUCUCCUUGAAUCUGAGCCAGUCUGAUACAAGAUAUUCGUCUGUUCAUGCUUUUGGGACAUUUUCUGUGAAUCCUUUUUUCAUUAUAUGGUAGAAGAUACUUCUUCUCAAGUUUUCGAGUCAUAUAAGAUGAUUUGAAAGGUUGGUGUACUCAACAAAGGGCCAAUUCUUGCAUGGUUGGUGGCUACUUGUGAGUCUGUGACCUGCUCCAAAAAUGAAGACCCUUUCUGUAUCUCCACGUUGUGUUGUGUAAAGCAGAGGAGGAGAGUGCUCUUCAUUAUAUAUAUUGUAUACUGUUUUUUUGUGCAUUGUCCAUCAACUUCGUCCACAACGAAAAUCUGGGUUAGGUUCAUGCAUAUUUGUAGUGGUCUGGCUUUGGCCUAGAAAUUUGUUGGUGGAAUAUUACUUAAUAUAGGGGCUAACAAAAGGACAAUCAUCGUUCGGUGUAGUUCGGAGUCAGUCACAAUGUGGGUGUUUGGUGAAGAAAAAAAAUAGUGCAAUUGAUAAUAAGGUGGAUGAAGUUUGCCUUUAUUUGGAACUAACAUGUUUUUUUUAAACUUCACCUGGGCAUCUUUGUCUUGAUUAGAGGGAGCUUUGACCUGAGUGCAAUUUAGUUUCUUGUUUAAGUUCAGACUGUAGUUUCGUUUUAGAUGGACAUCAUCUCCACCCUUUUUGUAGA